rfam:Leptosomus discolor contig55707, whole genome shotgun sequence.
GUGUCCUGACCUUUUCCUGGCUGUUACCCUCACCAGAGCUGUGGUGGUAGGGUCUGGGGGUGGACACAGAUCAACUUACCUCUCGUGUUAGGAGGGUUGCCAAAGGUAUGUGCAAACCCUUAAAGGCAAGAGAGGACACU